GCCGCGUCCUCUCUCUCUUUCCCCGAACACUCUCUUCCUCUCACACUCCCUCUGCCAUCACCGGAAAGCACCAUUUCCGGCCACCAUCUCACCACACCGCCUCCACCAAUCGAUGCAGCGCCCAAAACUGACCCUAACCCGAGGCUCGCCGUCGACAUGCACCGCCUCCGGCCUCCACCCGCGACCACCCAAUCCGCGACAUUGCUGCCUCACCUAAUCCUCUGAUUUCCAGCCAUCAAUCCUGACUAUCGCUACCAAAAAAUGAAGCACCAAGCCCUAAGGAGACCAUGCCUUAAGUCUUGAAGCAAGAAAACCACCGUACGAGCUCGCCGGAACUCGUAGCUAGCUCUGCAUGCCUUCGUUCUCCAACCUCCAGUCCAAAUCGAGCUAAACUACCUCCAUAGGUGUAAUCAGCGCCUCACUACCCACCUGUUCCCGAGACGCCGACCUCCGAUUCCGACUAGGGCCACCGUACGCGCUACACGCGCCGCCGCUGGCGCGUAGACCGCCAUAGCUCCGCCGUGUAUACCGCUGACUUAAUCCCUUGUUCUGGUAAUAAUGGAAUUCAGAUCGGAAAGUGAAGCUUCUGGUCUUGGUUUUGAUUUGAGUUCUUGUUGGGAUGAUGAAGAAUCCAGAAGGACUGCAAGGAGCCGUAUGUUAUGGAGUGGUUGUGGUUUCGGCAGAACUGAUAUAGGAUGGAGACUUGAGGUUUGAGGGAUCUGCAUUUUUGAAGGUUUUGGAGAAGAGAAGUGUUGGGUCUGUCUCCAUUGAAAAUGGAUUAAGGUGUUCCAAAACGGUUGUCGAUUGGGGGAAUGCAGCUACUACGAAUUGAUUUCUAUUUUGGAAAAGAAGGAGUG